rnacentral:misc_RNA from 1 species
CUCCUAUUAAAAAAACAUAAACCCACAUGGCCAUAACCCAAUGAUGGCACUUUUAACAACCUAGUAAGAUGGCUUAGGUCAAAAUCUAGAGAUAUAUCAAUAGUAAUUUGGAGAAAGGGGCUAUAAAGAUUCCAAUUAGUUAGAAAUUAAGUAGUUUCAAUUACUACCAUUUUUUCAUUUAAACCAUCUAAUGUACCAAAAGAAAAAAUCAAUUCAACCACCGUUAUACAAACUGAUUAAUUAAAGACAUCACAUUCGACAAUUGGGUUCUAAGACAAUUCAACGCAUGAAUAUCCUCAGAAAAUCAACCACUACAUUAAACAUGUACUAUUAAACUUAAAGGAACAAAUAUUUUUGAAGAAAAUGCAAUUCUUUAGGUCUUGGAGUCCAAGGCCAAAAUGGUGCUAAGGUUCAUGGGGUUCAUGUAUUGGGUGGAGCCAUUCAGGAUUUGUUGAGCAAGGUAUCCGUUUACCCUCUCUGAUGGAUGGAAUGGAUCCCAA